rnacentral:rRNA from 1 species
CAGUAGCCGCGGUAAUACGUAGGUGGCAAGCGUUGUCCGGAAUUAUUGGGCAUAAAGGGCUCGCAGGCGGUUUCUUAAGUCUGAUGUGAAAGCCCCCGGCUCAACCGGGGAGGGUCAUUGGAAACUGGGAAACUUGAGUGCAGAAGAGGAGAGUGGAAUUCCACGUGUAGCGGUGAAAUGCGUAGAGAUGUGGAGGAACACCAGUGGCGAAGGCGACUCUCUGGUCUGUAACUGACGCUGAGGAGCGAAAGCGUGGGGAGCGAACAGGAUUAGACCCCAGUAGUCCCUGUCUCUUAUACAC